GUACUACUCCCUUCGUUCUAAAUUACUUGUUAUGGAUUUGUCUAGAUACGGAUGUAUCUACACUCAUUUUAGUGCUAGAUACAGAUGUAUCUAGACAAAUCUAAAACAAGUAAUUCAGAACGGAGGGAGUAGCUA
rfam:Triticum urartu cultivar G1812 contig288586, whole genome shotgun sequence.